rnacentral:rRNA from 1 species
CCUACGGGAGGCAGCAGUGGGGGAUAUUGCACAAUGGGGGAAACCCUGAUGCAGCGACGCCGCGUGGGUGAAGAAGCGCCUCGGCGCGUAAAGCCCUGUCAGCAGGGAAGAAAAUGACGGUACCUGAAGAAGAAGCCCCGGCUAACUACGUGUCAGCAGCCGCGGUAAUACGUAGGGGGCAAGCGUUAUCCGGAUUUACUGGGUGUAAAGGGGGCGCAGACGGCGAUGCAAGCCAGGAGUGAAAGCCCGGGGCCCAACCCCGGGACUGCUCUUGGAACUGGGUGGCUAGAGUGCAGGAGGGGAAGGCGGAAUGCCUGGUGUAGCGGUGAAAUGCGUAGAUAUCAGGAGGAACACCGGUGGCGAAGGCGGCCUGCUGGACCGCAACUGACGUUGAGGCCCGAAAGCGUGGGGAGCAAACAGGAUUAGAUACCCCAGUAGUC